UACAGAGGUCACGAACGUUGUCCGGAAUUAUUGGGCGUAAAGGGCGCGUAGGUGGUCAGGUAAGUCAGGUGUGAAAGCUCUGGGCUUAACCCAGGAAUUGCAUCUGAUACUGCUUGGCUUGAGUACGGUAGAGGAGGGUGGAAUUCCCAGUGUAGCGGUGAAAUGCGCAGAUAUCAGGAAGAACACCCGUGGCGAAGGCGGCUCUCUGGGACGGUACUGACGCUGAGACGCGAAAGCGUGGGGAGCGAACAGG
rnacentral:rRNA from 1 species